AGAAUGAACGCUGGCGGCAUGCCUAACACAUGCAAGUCGAACGAGACCUUCGGGUCUAGUGGCGCACGGGUGCGUAACGCGUGGGAAUCUGCCCUUGGGUUCGGAAUAACAGUGGGAAACUACUGCUAAUACCGGAUAAUGACGUAAGUCCAAAGAUUUAUCGCCCAGGGAUGAGCCCGCGUAAGAUUAGCUAGUUGGUGGGGUAAAGGCCUACCAAGGCGACGAUCUUUAGCUGGUCUGAGAGGAUGAUCAGCCACACUGGGACUGAGACACGGCCCAGACUCCUACGGGAGGCAGCAGUGGGGAAUAUUGGACAAUGGGCGAAAGCCUGAUCCAGCAAUGCCGCGUGAGUGAUGAAGGCCUUAGGGGUUGUAAAAGCUCUUUUACCCGGGAAGAUAAUGACUGUACCGGGAGAAUAAGCCCCGGCUAACUCCGCGCCAGCAGCCGC
rnacentral:rRNA from 1 species